rnacentral:misc_RNA from 1 species
GAUGAAGAACGUAGCGAAAUGCGAUAAGUAAUGUGAAUUGCAGAAUUCAGUGAAUCAUCGAAUCUUUGAACGCACCUUGCGCCCUUUGGUCAUUCCGAAGGGCAUGCCUGUUUGAGUAUCAUGAACACCUCAACUCUUUAUGGUUUUCCAUGAUGAGCUUGGACUCUGGGGGUUUUGCUGGCUCACAGUCGGCUCCUCUAAAAUGAAUCAGCUUACCAGUGUUUGGUGGGUAUCAUGGGUGUGAUAACUAUCUACGCUUGUGGUUUUUCCACCAGGUUAACCUUCAGUGAUGGAGGUUCGCUGGAGCUCAUAAAUGUCCCUUCUCAGUGAGGACAGCUCUUUGAACGUUUGAUCUCAAAUCAGGUAGGACUACCCGCUGAACUUAAGCAUAUCAAUAAGCGGAGGA